CGUUCGUUCUGCUUCAGUGUCUCGCUGAUUAUCGCCUUUUAUUCUCUCGCAGCUUGAUUACAUAUUCUAUACGCAUGUGAUUUUUCAUUCUGAUGACUCCCAGCUAGGGCUACAGACACCUUGUAUAGUGCUAUGCAUUCAAAUUCCAACAAAGCCUGAGUUCUAAAGGUCUCGUUUUUUUAUUCACCCUGCGUUGAUGCAUGUACA